AUUGAACGCUGGCGGCAGGCCUAACACAUGCAAGUCGAACGGUAGCACAGAGAGCUUGCCCUCGGGUGACGAGUGGCGGACGGGUGAGUAAUGUCUGGGAAACUGCCCGAUGGAGGGGGAUAACUACUGGAAACGGUAGCUAAUACCGCAUAACGUCGCAAGACCAAAGUGGGGGACCUUCGGGCCUCACACCAUCCGAUGGGCCCAGAUGGGAUUAGCUAGUAGGUGGGGUAAUGGCUCACCUAGGCGACGAUCCCUAGCUGGUCUGAGAGGAUGACCAGCCACACUGGAACUGAGACACGGUCCAGACUCCUACGGGAGGCAGCAGUGGGGAAUAUUGCACAAUGGGCGCAAGCCUGAUGCAGCCAUGCCGCGUGUAUGAAGAAGGCCUUCGGGUUGUAAAGUACUUUCAGCGGGGAGGAAGGCGGUGAAGUUAAUAACUUCACCGAUUGACGUUACCCGCAGAAGAAGCACCGGCUAACUCCGUGCCAGCCGCCGCCGUAA
rnacentral:rRNA from 1 species